rnacentral:misc_RNA from 1 species
AACUACCCAAUAUCAUUAAGCUAAUGCAAAAGGAAUUAUAUUUUUUUAACCUACCAUGAAUAUUUUAUAGAUUUUUAAUCGUAAUCAAGCACUAGAUAAUUAAGAAAAAGUAAGGUUUGAGUUUACCUAUGCCAAUUCUGACCUUGAGGGCGCAUCCGGAACGUCUGAAAACGGUGGGGUAGCCUAUAAUUUUGACCCAAUUCUGAAAUUUUUUUCAGUAGCCUAUUUGUCUGGCCCGAAAUUGCAGACUCGAGCAAUUGUUGAAUUUCAGUGAAUUGAAGGUACCUAUGUGAAGCUCAUAAUACGGGGG